rnacentral:rRNA from 1 species
UGGGGAAUCUUGCGCAAUGGACGAAAGUCUGACGCAGCGACGCCGCGUGAGUGAUGAAGGCCUUCGGGUUGUAAAGCUCUGUGGGGAGAGAAGAAUUAGUGGAGGCUAAUCACUCCAUGAUGACGGUAUCUCCUUAGCAAGCACCGGCUAACUCUGUGCCAGCAGCCGCGGUAAGACAGAGGGUGCAAACGUUGUUCGGAAUUACUGGGCGUAAAGCGUGUGUAGGUGGUCGCGUAAGUCGGAUGUGAAAGCCCUGGGCUCAACUCAGGAAGUGCACUCGAUACUGCGUGACUUGAGUACCGGAGAGGUUGGUAGAAUUCUCGGUGUAGAGGUGAAAUUCGUAGAUAUCGAGAGGAAUACCUGUGGCGAAGGCGGCCAACUGGACGAGUACUGACACUGAGACACGAAAGCGUGGGGAGCAAACAGGAUUAGAUACCCCCGUAGUCC